UUGAUAUUUUAAAAAAAAAAAUAUUCAAGUUUUGAAGUAUUGUACUAUCCUCUAAUAUUAUAAUAACACUUUUUUAUAUGGUUGAAAUUUUAAAUUUCCAAG